UUUGAUUGCAUGUGUUUAAUCUUAUUGCAAUUAGGAUCUUGGUAGUUUUGAUUAUUACUUUAAUGAUUGCGCGCAUGCAUGAUCACCUCACAUGUUAGUGGAUAAAUAUGAAAUCAAUCCAAAUUGCCUGCCAAAAAUCAUUUUUUUAAAAUGAACAAGAUUAGGUACCGAAAGGGCACUAAUUGGUUAAUUAGUGUAAUCAAGUCCCCGAACCUAAAUUCUCUGGUUGCGUAGGAAGUGAGGCACGCUCCCAUGCCUCACUUGGUUUCUAGUCGACCCCAAUAGGCUAGUGGCGACUCCUUUUAUGCAAAAUUUCUUAAGAAUAUCCCAACGUCACGCGGGGUAUGGGCUUGGGAGAGCUCGCGCUUAAUCAUGGGCCUUAGGCCCGUCCUUUAGGCAAUACCCCUAAACCUGUUCCCUCCCCCCGAGGGUAGGUCGCGACAAU
rnacentral:lncRNA from 1 species